GAAUGGCAGCAGCCGUUUUCCAAAAAUCUUACCAUGCCUUUUGGAAAGUUCUAAGAGGAUAUCGUCGUAAUGAUUACUUUCGGUGUAGUUGGUACGGGAUAGAGAAGACUGUGAACGCUUUCAAAGAGGAUAGAACGGUUAGAAACGGAUAUGGGCGGAUAUUUUCGUUCACUGCUCUUCGAGCUGCUCUUCAUCCUGUCAGCAAAAUGUCAAUUUUCAGACAGAUGGAAAAAGAAAGCUAAUAAUUAUUUUGUUCUUCCGAGAAGUAGUUCAGCUGGAAAAUACCAUUAUUUAUGAAUACUGAAUAAAAAAAUUACAAAAAAAUUGUGAUCUUGAAAACGGCAAGAUUGUGUCCUUGAAGAAAUGACGUUUUUGUGGAUGCUCGGGUAGACAUAAAAUAACAUAUGUUUGCUCGGGCAAAAGCCAACUGCUCGCUUUGUGUUCCUCCCGGGAACAUAACGUGUCGUCCGGACGCUGGACAAUAAGCAACGUUGUGAGCCACAUCACCGACGUCCACAAAAUAUAGUGUUCUCCCGGUUCUCUCCAACGCUAAUGCUCUUCAGCGCAGUGACUACCGGCAAGCGUAUCAAUAUUGACCCAACCGACUCAUCUCCAGUUGUUGCAGUGCAGCUCUAGUCAAGGCUCUAGUUGUAUGCUGGACUCUCGGCAGAACUCGGGGGAUGAAGCUGGCAGGUUGAUGCGUGAGAUGAGGGUGAUAAAUUUGAGCGUUUUCAGUAGAUUCAAUCGUUCAGCUAUGUUUUUUAACUCGGUUCAUCAUAAACAAACUUACUUUUCAUCUUAGGGGUAGAUCCGAUGAUUCCGUCGAUUCCAUGGGUAGAUUUCGACUUGGAUUUCGAUUCCGGGUCGUUCCGGGUAAGGAUCAACGAGCCGAUCAGGAUUCCGACUUCUGUUUUGAUUUUUUUUUUCGUUUUGACAUUUCUCUUUCGUAAAAACAUUCUUACUGGAGUGCGUUCACGAUGAAAUCACCGUGAGCGCUUUCAAAUCGUUGGAGGUUUGAACACGGUUAGAAACGGAUAGCGACGGAUAGAUGGGAGUUUGGGAAGGAUAUGAAAAAAACAAUUUCUUAGGAGCAUUUAUUCGGGAGUUUGGAGGAAAAGUAGAGAAAUUCACAAAAAAUCCGGAUCUGCCAUUCCCCUCGGAAUCUACCGUUGAAAAGCUGUUCGAUGGGAGGCGAGUUACACCCUAAACAUUUUUGACAGCUAACCAGCAAAUUUUGGUUUUGCCAUGCUGAAAGCACAGAGAACAGACAUCUAGGCUAGAACAAAUUUCAUUCGGAAAUUUGUGUAAGGAUUUGAAUCUUUACUUGAGUAAGGGAAGAUUCAUUUAUUACGUCCAUCGUUUUUCGGGAUUUCUAUCUCUGGAUAGUAAAUAAAUAUACCCUUUUUGAAAUCAAUUAGUUUGCAAGUUGGUAAUAGAGUUUUGCAUCGAAAUUUAACCUCAAUUUUCUCUCCGAGAGAGAAAAGAACGGCAACGAAUGGGAAUCAAACAAACCUCCGGAAAAUGUCAAAAUUCGCGUGAGAGGGAAAAGGAAGGGACGAACGAGAAUGAACCGAACGUUCAUUCGUGACGUCACCUUGCAGAAUUCUAUACCAGAAUUUAUCUAGGAUUUGUCGCAGAGUGAACAUUUGUUCGAUCUUUGAUCGACCAUCACGAAAAUCAGCUUGGAAUUCGUCGACGAAGGAAUCUUACGGAAAUUAGCGUCCCCUAUCCAUGCCCUUUUUGUAAACAGGACAUGUAACUCUGAAGCCAACUAGCAGGUAGUUUUUCUUCCCAUAUCUUCAAUAGAAUACGGUGAAGUAUUUCAUACAGCUGCUCACUAUCGUGUUUGAAAAAUUGAGCCGGUAAUUCAGCCUUUUCAGCAGCUUUACUGUUCUUCGGCAUUUUAAUAGCUUAUUUUAACUCAUCUAGGGUAAAGGGCUUCACAGUUUGUCCACGACAUGGAAUCGCAAUGGUCGCUGAGCCCUUGAGUUCGCCACGAUUGAUAACCAUGCACGACUCUUACUGACGAGAUAGUGAUCUAAGUUGAUGAUCACUGCUCUACGGCACUAUCAUUGGGUUCGGGGCUUAAAGGCAAAGAUCUAGAACUUUGUCCUAAAACAAACUUAUACCUGCGCUUAUACCUAUUUAGAACGAAUUUUCUUUCGAAUAAAUGAUCAAACCAUUUUGAUUCAUAUAGUUACUUUGUUUUAUUUGCAAUAUUCUCAGAGUUACAUCUAACUGCAGUGGUUUACGCAUAUAUUCCUCCUCCUUCUGUUAUUUCUCUAGUUAAAGGACAUUUCGGCUAAAACCUAUCACCUAGGAAUAAGUUUUGUUUCGUUUUCAGUAUCCGUAUUGUUUUUUUUUUGUCAGAUGUUUGUUCGUUCUUUAUUUUCGGUUUUGCAGAUCGUUUUUUUUUUUCUUCUGUUUGCCUGUAAAAUUGAUUCACAUUUUGGUAACCUUGUGCCAACGAAUCAACUUGAAGCCUCCAUCACAUUAUUGUUUGAAAACUGAACCCGGUUAGCUUUAGUAACAUUAGGUGAGAUUUUGAAUAGGUCUGUUUAGUUGUGUCAUAUAUGUCUAACAUAUAUUUCCUAACGGCUGCUAUAUUUUUGUUAGUAUAAUAGUACAUGUGUGUACACUGUGUCUCUGUUGUGUAUUCGUUCGUAUCAUCUAAAUAUCAGUUCAGUAGUGUGAUCAGAAGAUCAAUUUUCAAUUUUCUGUAAUUUAACAUUAGGGUACAAAGAUAGUUUUACACCAAAACUGCUGGAAUUUGAACUGAGCUACCUAGCUAAGCGCCCUACGAGGUUCGACCGCUAUCUGAAGAAUCAAAAUGUAAUACUAGUUUUAAAUUAUGCGGGUUGUACGGUUGUUUCGGAACAGUAUCCGCACGAUAAUGGUAAAGCUUUUGAACGAUAACCUGCGGAUGUAACUGUUAUUCGGGAUUUGCUUAAACUACAUCUGUUGUAACGAUUAUUGGCGAUUCCUCCUGUCUGUACAUGCUACCAUAGAGUUAGAAUAAAUGAAAAAGAUUUACUCCAAAGUGGUGUUUAUAAAUAUUCAAGCCUGGAAAUGUCGAUUAGUUGAAUUGGAAAGUUGUUAAAAAGGAAACGUUUAGUCCUGCGACUGCCUUUGAACGUAAUUUGAGUAUUUACAGAAGCAGAUUGGGACAAGCGUUGGCGCGCUUUUCGAAUUUACCUGAUUUGCUAACUAGCUAGUCUAUAUGCUAAUAUAAACAUGAAUGUACUUCGGUUCUGUUCUAUAUAA